CAAAGACGAAAAACACUUACCUUGAAUACUUUGUCGUGGCUUAGGCAUGUUUUUAAACCAAUUAGACCAGUUUAUGCUUCAAUAUUACUCUAUUGAAGCGGAAAAUAUAGCGAAACAACAAAAAUCUGAACAUUUUCGAAAUACACAUGACGUCACAGAUUGCAACUAGGUUUAGACUGUGACGUCAGGAAGUUUCCUAUCCAGUUAUUUUACAAUCCAUGGUAUUAAUAAUACUCGAAUGUUUGGUCAUUCUCACGCCAGGCAAUAUUUGGCAGUCUCUACGCCAUAUGAACGUUCCUUUAUUACACUGCUUAACGUCUUAUCAACAGGUAAAAUGUAAAGGACAUUAACUGAGUGGUGUGUUAAUUCUUAAGAAAAUGACAUUGGGCCAUUGGCCAUACUAAAAAUUGCGAUUACUGUAAUAUUUUUGUCCAUGUAGAAUGUACUGAAACGAAGAUAGACCUUCGGACAGUUGUUCAACAUAUAUGUACGGCUUUACAUUUGUCUGUUGAUAAGGAGUUUACAUUAAAUAAAACAGAACACAACUGUUUUGCGUCCAA